CGUUGCCCGUCUCACGUGCCCGGCACGAACGCUCUGCCCUUUCACCUCUGCCUUCUGUCCGCAGGCUGGUCCCAGCCCCCCGAGGCUAAGUAAGGCUUCCCUUGCGCCAGGACCUCCCCCCCCCGGGAGACGCUAGAAUGCGAACCCCUCCCGGACGGGGGCUGUUUCUGCCUCUCGGGGAGUCUCUGGUACUUAAGAAGAGCCCAAAAAACGUUUGUUUACUGAGAUAACAGGCCAGACCUCGGGAGCCCCCCGGGGCAUCAUCUCCGCCUGAGAGACUUCGCCGAAGCUCUGGUCUGCGGGGGACGGACGCGUCACUACGGCGCGGGAGACCCUUUCCUUCUGUCCGGAGAUGCGCGACCCCGGCCUGACCUCUUCCCCGAGGACUUGAACCCGGAGAGACCACUACCUCUUAUCUCCUGGGCCGCCGGGAGCCUGAACUUCCUGCCAGAUCGGUAUCUCCGGGAAACAGGAGGUCCGAAUUUUCUGGAAUACAACGGUUCACGAGGUUAUCUGUGCCCCAAGACCCAUACUCGAAGCAUACUGUGCUCCCCAGAUAACUGCUGGGAUCCCAUCAAGCAAAAGCCGUCCCCGAGGCACCCAGGGAAAGCCUCGCAGGAUCCUCUCGCCCCCAAACCACUGCGCUGUCUCAUUUCACCUGUCUUCCCAGAAGCCAGCUCUGCACAGAUACCAUAAAAAGGCCAGCGGAUACUCCAACACCAAUCGGGCUGCCAGCUUGGGGAUGUUGCCCGCGGGCAGCCUCAGAGGAGAGGGAGGAUUUUGCAGUUCUCUAUAGCUCUGAGCUGCUACUCACAGCCUCCAUGACUCAGCUGCCCCGGUUUCCUUAAAGUGAAAACACAGGCUUACAAACAAACAUAUUCUUAGAUAAAAUUCUGAAGACUUGCUAAGAAGAUACGGUCAUUCCAGCUGAGGCAUUUUUCCUAAGAAAUUACUAAAAGAACGCUGGAGUUAAUAUGGCCUCCAGCAAUAUGCAAAAUAUGUCUGAAGCUUUACUUUGUAAGAGAAAGACAAAAAUAAAGCAAACCCCUGUGGGAUUCCAUUUCCUCUCAGAAAACUGGCAGUUCUUCUUAUUGGAAGGGAAAGAGGUUCUGUGUCUUCACUCUGAGACAACCAAACAAUUU